rnacentral:rRNA from 1 species
CCCUUAGAUGCUCUGGGCCGCACGCGCGCUACACUGGUCGAUGCAACGAGUUUCUUUCCUUGGCCGACAGGCCUGGGCAAUCUUUGAACAUCGAUCGUGAUUGGGAUAGACCUUUGCAAUUAUGGGUCUUCAACGAGGAAUUCCUAGUAAACGCAAGUCAUCAGCUUGCAUUGAUUACGUCCCUGCCCUUUGUACACACCGCCCGUCGCACCUACCGAUUGAAUGGUCCGGUGAAAUCUCGGGACGGCGGCUUGGUCGCUUGCGUCCGACUGCUGAAACUUGAUUAAACCAUAUCAUUUAGAGGAAGGUGAAGUCGUAACA